UCAAAACUAAUGCGUAUUCAACAUAAUUUAAGCUGUUAAAAUAUAAUACCUCUAUCAUAGCACUUAACAAAAGGUUUCAGAGUGGCCAAUAGACCGACUAUGAGUAAGAACCUUUCUAGUUUCAUGUCAAAACUGUUUAGACUUCAAACAUUUUAUUAAAUUCCUAGCUUGUUAAUUUAGCAUUUGCAAAAGUGAUUUAAUUUUAUGCCUGAUUAAGGCGAGACGUUAAAUAAGAAAUAAAAAAGCUACGCGUAUUAUCAUUUAAUUUAGUCGUACAAAUAAACCAUGAGUUCAUUGAUUUGCGGCAAAUCGUGUGACUAACCCUAUAAUGCCCCCAUUAUUUCCGUUAACAUCGCCCACUGGAGUCCCGAAAAAGCGAUGCCACUUCAAAAUAAUCCCAUUUCAGAGGGACCGCCAUCGAAUUCCGGUCUGUUUGUCCAGUCGAGCGAGAGAAAGGCUGACUUUAAGCAAAUUAGCAAUUCCACAAAAGUGUCGCCUCGCCCUUAACCCUUGUGUGGCCGUAGCUCUGCUGAGCCUUAACCCCUGACUGGCCUAAUCGUGGCACGUGCUUCGACAUAUUUAAUCACAGGGCUGUGUCUCUUCUGUUUCGACUAAAAAAAAAGUCGAACAAAACUGGAAAAGGGGCCAAAGUUGUGUAGCACCACACAUAAAGAUAAUCCAAUCUUAUGCUGCUAAUUUUACAGCAUCCCGAAAAUGAAAUAAAAUCAAAUCUCGUGUGUGGACGAGCGUGUGCAAAUGUGGUUAGGGUUAGGGGUUGAGGUUUUCCGGGGAGGGGGGAGUUCGGAGCAGGGACCAAACCCAGAUGAACUCAAAACUGUAAACCGCUGCCAGCUUUGCGAAAAACUUUUGCCCAAAAGAAAACCCUCAGACAAAUAAAUUCGAUUAUAUUACACUUGA